CUCUAUGGCCAUACCCACCUGAAUACGCCCAAUCUCAUCUGAUGUCACAAGCUAAGCAGGGUCAGGCCUGGUUAGUACUUGGAUGGAAGACCACUGGGAAUACCAGGUGCUGUAGGCU
rnacentral:rRNA from 1 species